GGACGACAUCCGUUUGGACGUCAUCCAUUCGGAUGUCAUCCAUCUGGAGCGAUCGUGAAUGGCGGCCUUAAGACAUUCUCUGAUAAUAGCUCCAGUGACACCGAGUCAACCAGCGAUAGACAAAUGAUCAGAUUAAGUCCUUUGGAUAGUGAAAAUUGACGACAGUAGUAGGCCUACUGUGCAGCCAUAUGUAACGCCAUAUUGGACAUUUCCCCUCCCCUUCACUUCACUUUCUUUACCGCACCGGUUGUUUCUUACGUGGUGCAGUUACUUCCCGCUAGGAGUUUGCUUCCGGUGUAGUCGGAUAUUUUUACAAAUGUAAAUUAUGUGUAUGUUUUAGUGGUUUAAAAAUAUGUGCUAUCUUGCACUGGAUCGGACAUGCUGCUGCUAAUGGAGACAACAACCUUCUCCCUCGGCCAUCCUGUUCGCAAGAUCUUACACCGUGCAAUUUCUUUCUUUUGGGGUUCGUUAAAGACAGCGUUUAUAUACCACCAUUGCCCACGUCCAUCCAUGAACUUCGUGAUCAGAUAACGCAUGCACUGCAGGCCAUUACAGCGGACAUGCUACACCAGGUCUGGGAUGAGUUUGAUUACCGUGUGGAUGUGUGUCGUGUGACCCAGGGUGCACACAUUGAAGGACCGCUGACGGUGUAUGUUGUGCCCGUGUAAGAACCACCAAAACUUCUGAUGGAACCAGACAGACUCCCAGAGCCACCGAAACUUCCGAUGGAACCAGAUGGACUCCCGGAGCCACCAGAAUUUCCGAUGGAACCAGAUAGACUCCCGGAGCCACCGUAACUUCCACCUGAGCCAGAUAGGCUCCCGGAUCCACCAAAACUUCCGAUGGAACCAGAUAGACUCCCGGAGCUACCGUAACUUCCGCCUGAGCCAGAUAGACUCCCGGAGCCACCGAAACUUCCACCUGAGCCAGAUAGGCUCCCGGAGCCACCAAAACUUCCGAUGGAACCAUAUAGACUCCCGGAGCCACCGAUAGUUCCAGUUGAACUUCCUAUGUUUCCAGAGCUGCCAUAAUUACUGCUUGAACUUCCUCCUGAAGCAAACGCUGAAAAACCAGUCGAUUUUAUGCCGCUCGCUGAUAUCGUGCCUGCAGGUUGCAGUAAACUGUAACAAAAAUUAUUCUACCAACAUUAAGGGUUGCAGAGACCUACGAAGUGUUUGAAACUGUCUACAAUUCCGCACAAUAUCGGAGGACAGUGUGAGCUUCGAUGAUGCGAAAACAUCAACGUCAUAAGAUUUAAACACAACAACAACGCUCAAGAUAUGAAUGAAUAACUUUUGAGGAAAGGAGAGUGUUUUGUGAGUGAAUUACAAGACGAAAUGUGUCGUUAAGAUGUGCUGGAGAACGAUUAAUGGUGUUAACACACGAUGGUGCUGCCCUCUCGCGAUAUUUUUCAUCGAGUUUUCUAACCUAUGGAUUUGUAGGCGUAUCACACAUUGUUUCGUGUAAUUCUGACAGAAUUAUUUGUAAAUAAACAUGACAGUUUGAGAUGUGAUAGAUAAUUUUCACAACCAUGUGACAUUUCUGAGUAACAACUCUAAAAGACACGUAAAAGUUGACCGUCGCUUGUUGAAAUAACCUUACGCGAUGGAAGUCUCCGAGUUCUCCCGUGUUAACAUCGCGUUUCUAGGCACGGACAACGUCUCACGUUUUGCUGUUAUGAACGAGACAAUGGAGGAAUAUCUGGUGAGGAUCCUGGGGCCCAAGCACCUCCCGUUAUCAGUGGUGUUGCCCGUCACAAUCAUCUACGUCACCAUUUUCGUAUCGGGCGUCGUCGGCAACGUGGCGGUUUGCGUGGUGAUAGCUCGGAACAAGUCAAUGCGAACGGCGACCAACUAUUACCUGUUCAGCCUCGCCGUGUCGGAUCUCACGCUGCUGCUACUAGGUGGAGAGGACUUUAAAGCCCGGUCGGGAACAUUGACGUCGCCAGUCGAGGGAUCUUCUAGAAGCCAUGUG